GAUGAGAUGGCUGAGUGGUGAAGGCAAUGGACUGCCAAUCCAUUGUGCCCUGCAUGUGUGGAUUUGAAUCCCACCCUUGUUG
rfam:Cuculus canorus isolate BGI_N303 unplaced genomic scaffold scaffold137, whole genome shotgun sequence.